rnacentral:rRNA from 1 species
UACGUAGGCAGCAAGCGUUGAUCGGAGUUACUGGGCGUAAAGAGUAUGUAGGCGGUGUUCUAAGUUCGGUGUGAAAUCUCCCGGCUCAACUGGGAGGGUGCGCCGAAGACUGGGAUGCUGGAGUCUCGGAGAGGAACGCGGAAUUCCUGGUGUAGCGGUGAAAUGCGUAGAUAUCAGGAGGAACACCAGUGGUGUAGACGGCGUUCUGGACGAGUACUGACGCUGAGAUACGAAAGCGUGGGGAGCAAACAGG